GUGUCACAUGAAAGGAGAGAAGGUUAGCACUCCCUUUGACCAACCUGGUAGGGGCCCUCAGCCUGACACCACGCAUACAUGUAUUUAAGGCAUUGCCAUCUACUUUGUGGCAUCAAAAGUAAAAUAUUUUU
ensembl:snRNA